rnacentral:rRNA from 1 species
AACGAACGCUGGCGGCAUGCCUAACACAUGCAAGUCGAACGAGACCUUCGGGUCUAGUGGCGCACGGGUGCGUAACGCGUGGGAACCUGCCCUUAGGUUCGGAAUAACUCCCCGAAAGGGGUGCUAAUACCGGAUAAUGUCUUCGGACCAAAGAUUUAUCGCCUUUGGAUGGGCCCGCGUUGGAUUAGCUAGUUGGUAGGGUAAAAGCCUACCAAGGCGACGAUCCAUAGCUGGUCUGAGAGGAUGAUCAGCCACACUGGGACUGAGACACGGCCCAGACUCCUACGGGAGGCAGCAGUGGGGAAUAUUGGACAAUGGGCGAAAGCCUGAUACAGCAAUGCCGCGUGAGUGAUGAAGGGCCUAGGGUUGUAAAGCUCUUUUACCCGGGAUGAUAAUGACAGUACCGGGAGAAUAAGCUCCGGCUAACUCCGUG